rnacentral:rRNA from 1 species
AGAGUUUGAUCAUGGCUCAGGAUGAACGCUAGCUACAGGCUUAACACAUGCAAGUCGAGGGGCAGCAGGACGAUAGCUUGCUAUUGUUGCUGGCGACCGGCGCACGGGUGAGUAACGCGUAUCCAACUUCCCCUAGUAGGGCAUAGCCCGGUGAAAAUCGGAUUAAUACCCUAUGUUGUGUCAUGAGGACAUCUGAAUAACACUAAAGAUUUAUCGCUAAGGGGAUGGGGAUGCGUCCGAUUAGGUAGUCGGCGGGGUAACGGCCCACCGAGCCCUCGAUCGGUAGGGGUUCUGAGAGGAAGGUCCCCCCACACUGGUACUGAGACACGGACCAGACUCCUACGGGAGGCAGCAGUGAGGAAUAUUGGUCAAUGGGCGCGAGCCUGAACCAGCCAAGUAGCCGUGCAGGAUGACGGCCCUAUGGGUUGUAAACUGCUUUUAUACGGGGAUAAAGUGAGGGACGUGUCCCUUAUUGUAGGUACCGUAUGAAUAAGGACCGGCUAAUUCCGUGCCAGCAGCGGC